GGUUGCAAUUGGAAAAAUCAACUGUGCUAAUCAGGAGAAAUCAGCUGACUUGAGUGCAAGAACUUUCUGCCACGUAAUGCGAUUCUAGAAGAAUCAUUUAUCUCAAGAUGAUCAUAAUUGUUGCUGAUGUUUGUCUCCCAGAAGAAAUACAUAUUGCUAUACCCAUGAAGAUCAAACUUAAAACCAGAACCUGCAUCUUGACCAAUAGCACUUACAUCAUUAUAAAGGUUUUAGUAUGCAGACUUUUGCAACAAGCAUGACAAGAAUGUUCUACAUUUGAAGCAAGAUGUAAAAGUUACCAAAUCUUGAAAGCUUUAGAAGUGGUGGGUAUAGGUCAUCAGGAACUCAGGGAUGUAAAAGUUGAACGAGCUUGAGCAGAAAUGCUUAACCAAGAACCCUGCCCUCCCAGAAUUUCUGAGGGCUUCAACAAGGAAACUGACUACUCUUAACAUGGGAAAUGACUAACAACACUCUGUGCAUCCUUAACUGUGAUGGUUCAUACAAGGUUAAAUCUCCAAAUGCAGGAGCUGGCUUCAUCCUUGAGCACAUGCAAGGAAACACAACUUGCUAGUUAUUCCACCCACAAGGCAAGCAGCCCAAUCAGAGCUGAAUGCUGGAGCAUUAAAGAGGGACUUCUCAAAGCCUAUCAGGAAGGCUUCUCACACAUACAGGUCCAAUCAGAUUCUCAUAAUCUUGUCAACAUACUCUCUGACCCAUCUCGCAUCCCUUAGCAUCCACGGAACUUAUGCCAAUAUACCUUUUACCAUGCAAAAGCUGUUGAGGUCACUGGAUGGAAUUUUGUUCCUAGAAACACUAACCACACUGCACAUAAGUUGGCUAGAUUUGCGACUAAACAUACAGUUGAUGGUUUUUGGAGAGGUAAUUCACCUCCUGAUGUUUUGCACGAACUGAUGUUAAGCUAAUCUACCUUUUUCUUUCUCUCAAAAAUUAGUUCGAUCACAUAAUUCAUUAAAGACUAACAAUGAGUAACAGAACACCAAAUAUCACAAAGAUCAAACCCACAAAGUUGAUUCACAUAAACAAAACUGCUUGCUACCAAUAGAAAGCUGCAAGAAUUAUAUUUCAAUCAACCAGGACAAAAUCAGGGAAUUAAAAUAUUAGAAGAUUAGAAGGAUAUGGUAUAGCAUGCGCAUACAAACAUUUGGAUAUCUAGAGUGUUAAGCUUGAAGUCCAUCAAGGGUAUUAAAGCCUCGAUCCCAUCAUCCAAAAUCAGUAAUGGAGGUUUCAAAUUGAAUAUCCACAUUGUUAAAUAUGAUCUGCAACAUUUGAAAGCCUAGAAAUGAAAAAAAACAAAACAAAACUAUAUAAAACAUUCUAACAUACCCAUGAAAAAAAUGUCAUGAUUUGGUCUCAUGGGAUAUUAGUCUAUCAACCUCAUUUGAUUUAAAUCAUUGAUCAAAAUAUUUCAGCUUAAAUUGAUAAUAAUACACUUGAAUAAAUCUUUAUAUCUUUAUAAAUCAAUCUAAGUGUUAUCCACUUUCAAUGUGAGACUAAUCGGAGUGUUAGAAAAAUAAUAUAUCAAACUUCACUGUACUUUCAUCUAAAGAUUUCGAAAUCAUGUCCAGUCAUUUAAAUCGAUGAAACAAUCUAAGAUCACAGUACUCUAAUGUAUCGAUGCUUCUUACAACAUAUUUUAUUAGUUUCAUAAACAAUCAAUUUUAUUUUUUUAUAUGUCGAAUUGCUACCGUAACUUGCACAUUAUGUAUGAUUAAAAAAUCACCUAUAUCAUGCCAGGUACUCAUCUCCGCUUCCAUCAAAUCAUACUUGUAAACUAAUUCCAGGAAACGUAGAUGACAAAAUAUGCGUAUGUAAAUAAAAAUGUGUUACCUUGUGAGUACAGACAAAAAGCAAGAGAGACAUACCCGCAUCCUCAACCACAAAAGAUAAUCCCAAACAAUGCGAAAAAAGGGCCUCCGCCGCUCGCCGCAGCCGCCGGCCACGAUGAAGUACAACCCGCGUGUGUCAGGCUCCCGGUGGAAGUGCCGGAAGGAGCACUUCACUGCUC
rnacentral:lncRNA from 1 species